AAGAAGCAAGACCGUGAGGUGGAGCAAAACUCAAAAACUUGUCUCAGUUCGGAUUGCAGGCUGAAACUCGCCUACAUGAAGCUGGAGUUGCUAGUAAUCGCGAAUCAGCAUGUCGCGGUGAAUACGUUCCCGGGCCUUGUACACACCGCCCGUCACACCAUGAGAGUUGGCAAUACCCAACGUACGUGAUCUAACCCGCAAGGGAGGAAGCGUCCUAAGGUAGGGUCAGCGAUUGGGGUGAAGUCGUAACAAGGUACC
rnacentral:rRNA from 1 species